UACGGAGGGGGCUAGCGUUGUUCGGAAUUACUGGGCGUAAAGCGCACGUAGGCGGCUUUGUAAGUUAGAGGUGAAAGCCCGGGGCUCAACUCCGGAAUUGCCUUUAAGACUGCAUCGCUUGAACGUCGGAGAGGUGAGUGGAAUUCCGAGUGUAGAGGUGAAAUGCGUAGAUAUGUGGAGGAACACCGAUGGCGAAGGCAGCCCCCUGGGUCAAGACUGACGCUCAUGCACGAAAGCGUGGGGAGCAAACAGG
rnacentral:rRNA from 1 species